CCUGGCUCAGAUUGAACGCUGGCGGCAUGCCUUACACAUGCAAGUCGAACGGUAACAGGUCUUCGGAUGCUGACGAGUGGCGAACGGGUGAGUAAUACAUCGGAACGAGCCCAGACGUGGGGGAUAACGAGGCGAAAGCUUUGCUAAUACCGCAUACGAUCUAAGGAUGAAAGCAGGGGACCGCAAGGCCUUGCGCGUUUGGAGCGGCCGAUGGCAGAUUAGGUAGUUGGUGGGAUAAAAGCUUACCAAGCCGACGAUCUGUAGCUGGUCUGAGAGGACGACCAGCCACACUGGGACUGAGACACGGCCCAGACUCCUACGGGAGGCAGCAGUGGGGGAAUUUUGGACAAUGGGCGAAAGCCUGAUCCAGCAA
rnacentral:rRNA from 1 species